rnacentral:rRNA from 1 species
ACGGAGGGUGCGAGCGUUGUCCGGAAUCACUGGGCGUAAAGCGUGCGCAGGCGGUUCGUUGUGUCGGUGGUGAAAGCCCCGGGCUUAACCUGGGAAUGGCCGUCGAAACUGGCGAACUGGAGUGUGGCAGAGGGGGGUGGAAUUCCGCGUGUAGCAGUGAAAUGCGUAGAGAUGCGGAGGAGCACCGAUGGCGAAGGCAGCCCCCUGGGCUGACACUGACGCUCAGGCACGAAAGCGUGGGGAGCAAACAGGA